rnacentral:rRNA from 1 species
GCAGUAGCCGCGGUAAUACGGAGGGGGCUAGCGUUGUUCGGAAUUACUGGGCGUAAAGCGCACGUAGGCGGCUUGGUAAGUUAGAGGUGAAAGCCCGGAGCUCAACUCCGGAAUUGCCUUUAAGACUGCCGAGCUAGUAGGUGAGAGAGGUAAGUGGAAUUCCGAGUGUAGAGGUGAAAUUCGUAGAUAUUGGGAAGAACACCGGUGGCGAAGGCGGCAACCUGGUCCUUGACUGACGCUGAGGCGCGAAAGCGUGGGGAGCAAACAGGAUUAGAUACCCCCGUAGUCCCUGUCUCUUAUAC